GAUGAACGCUAGCGGCAGGCUUAACACAUGCAAGUCGAGGGGUAUAGUUCUUCGGAACUAGAGACCGGCGCACGGGUGCGUAACGCGUAUGCAAUCUACCUUUCACAAAGGGAUAGCCCCAGAGAAAUUUGGAUUAAUACCUUAUAGUAAUACGACUUGGCAUCAAGAUGUAUUUAAAGAUUUAUCGGUGAAAGAUGAGCAUGCGUCCCAUUAGCUUGUUGGUAAGGUAACGGCUUACCAAGGCAACGAUGGGGUAGGGUCCGUGAGAGGGAGAUCCCCCACACUGGUACUGAGACACGGACCAGACUCCUACGGGAGGCAGCAGUGAGGAAUAUUGGACAAUGGGCGCAAGCCUGAUCCAGCCAUGCCGCGUGCAGGAUGACGGUCCUAUGGAUUGUAAACUGCUUUUGUACAGGAAGAAACCCCUUUNACGUGUGGAAGAUUGACGGUACUGUAAGAAUAAGGAUCGGCUAACUCGUGCCAGCAGCCGCGGU
rnacentral:rRNA from 1 species